CGCAUAUGGACUUCUAUUUUACAGUAUAAAGUGAAGCUAGUUUAAAAAUGAAGCCAAGUACCAUUUUGAGCUAUGUUACAACAUUCCUGACAUUUCAGUAUUGUUGGAGUCAGACACUGACUGAAUCUGAACCUGUUGUCAUUAAACCUGGAGGAUCUCAUAAACUGACCUGUACUGCAUCUGGCUUUGACUUCAGUAGCUAUUGGAUGGCUUGGAUCAGACAAGCUCCUGGAAAAGGACUGGAUUUUGUUGCUAUCAUUGAGGGUGACAGUGCUAGAAAGUUUUACUCCAGUGCUGUCGAAGGAAGGUUUACUGUCUCCAGAGACAACAGUAAGAAUCAGGUGUAUCUGCAUAUGAGCAAUCUGAAGAAUGAAGACACAGCGGUGUAUUACUGUGCCAGAGACCCACAGAGACAAAAGAGACCGUGGCCCUGAACAAAAACCUGUGUGCUUGACUCAAUACAAUUUGAUAAGAAGAGAACCUGACUUUUGAAAUGACACUAAAUUAGAUUAGAGCAUUCGUAAAAUAAGUUUACAUUUUGUUUUGCAUUGAAAUGACAUUUUAAAUAAGUUAUAUGUUUUAUCUAAUUAAAUUGUUAAAACAGUAUUGAUUCUUUGAGAAAAUUAAAACU